rnacentral:rRNA from 1 species
UGGUAGUCCACGCCGUUAACGAUGCUCACUCGCUGUUGGCGAUAUAUUGUCAGCAGUUAAGCUAAAGCAUUAAGUUGAGCCACCUGGGAAGUACGUCCGCAAGGAUGUUACUCAAAGGAAUUGACGGGGGCUUGCACAACCGGUGGAACAUGUGGUUCAAUUCGAUGAUACGCGAGGAACCUUACCUGGGCUUAAAUGUAGUUUGACUUCCGCCGAAAGGCGGUUUUCAUUCGGGACAAAUUACAAGGUGCUGCACGGCUGUCGUCAGCUCGUGCCGUGAGGUAUCGGGUUAAGUCCCUUAACGAGCGCAACCCCUAUUGUUAGUUACCAACAGGUUAAGCUGGGGACCCUAGCAAAACUGCCAGCGUAAGCUGGAGGAAGGUGGGGAUGACGUCAAGUCAGCAUGGCCAUUAUGUCCAGGGCUACACACGUGUUACAAUGGCCGAUACAAAGGGCAGCCACCACGCGAGUGGGAGCUAAUCCUUAAAAUCGGUCUCAGUUCGGAUCGAAGUCUGCAAUUCGACUUCGUGAAGGUGGAAUCGGUAGUAAUCGCGCAUUAGCAAUGGCGCGGUGAAUACGUUCCCGGGCAUUGUACACACUGCCCGUCAAGCCAUGGGAAUUGGUGUUGCACUGAAGUCCGUAACCAUCCAGGAGCGGC